rnacentral:rRNA from 1 species
AUUGAACGCUGGCGGCAUGCCUUACACAUGCAAGUCGAACGGUUACAGGUCUUCGGAUGCUGACGAGUGGCGAACGGGUGAGUAAUACAUCGGAACGUGCCCGAUCGUGGGGGAUAACGAAGCGAAAGCUUUGCUAAUACCGCAUAAGAUCUACGGAUGAAAGCAGGGGACCGCAAGGCCUUGUGCGAACGGAGCGGCCGAUGGCAGAUUAGGUAGUUGGUGGGAUAAAAGCUUACCAAGCCGACGAUCUGUAGCUGGUCUGAGAGGACGACCAGCCACACUGGGACUGAGACACGGCCCAGACUCCUACGGGAGGCAGCAGUGGGGAGUUUUGGACAAUGGGCGAAAGCCUGAUCCAGCCAUGCCGCGUGCAGGAUGAAGGCCUUCGGGUUGUAAACUGCUUUUGUACGGAACGAAAAGACUCUUUCUAAUAAAGAGGGUCCAUGACGGUACCGUAAGAAUAAGCACCGGCUAACUACGUGCCAGCCGCCGCCGUAACAC